UGGGGAAUAUUGCACAAUGGGCGAAAGCCUGAUGCAGCGACGCCGCGUGAGGGAUGACGGCCUUCGGGUUGUAAACCUCUUUCAGCAGGGACGAAGCGCAAGUGACGGUACCUGCAGAAGAAGCACCGGCUAACUACGUGCCAGCAGCCGCGGUAAUACGUAGGGUGCAAGCGUUGUCCGGAAUUACUGGGCGUAAAGAGUUCGUAGGCGGUUUGUCGCGUCGUUUGUGAAAGCCAGCAGCUCAACUGCUGGCUUGCAGGCGAUACGGGCAGACUUGAGUACUGCAGGGGAGACUGGAAUUCCUGGUGUAGCGGUGAAAUGCGCAGAUAUCAGGAGGAACACCGGUGGCGAAGGCGGGUCUCUGGGCAGUAACUGACGCUGAGGAACGAAAGCGUGGGUAGCGAACAGG
rnacentral:rRNA from 1 species